AGCCCGGGGAAACUCGGAUUAAUACCGCAUAACAAUAAUAAUUCGCAUGGAUUAUUAUUUAAAGAUUUAUCGGUUACAGAUGGGCAUGCGUCCCAUUAGUUAGUUGGUGAGGUAACGGCUCACCAAGGCAUCGAUGGGUAGGGGACCUGAGAGGGUGAUCCCCCACACUGGUACUGAGACACGGACCAGACUCCUACGGGAGGCAGCAGUGAGGAAUAUUGGCCAAUGGACGCAAGUUUGAACCAGCCAUGCCGCGUGCAGGAUGACGGCCCUAAGGGUUGUAAACUGCUUUUAUUCGGGAAUAAACCCCUUUACGUGUAGAGGGCUGAAUGUACCGAAAGAAUAAGCACCGGCUAACUCCGUGCCAGCAGCCGCGGUAAUACGGAGGGUGCAAGCGUUAUCCGGAUUUAUUGGGUUUAAAGGGUGCGUAGGCGGGACAUUAAGUCAGUGGUGAAAGCCUGUGGCUCAACCAUAGAAUUGCCAUUGAUACUGAUGUUCUUGAGUAUGAUUGAAGUUGGCGGAAUAUGGCAUGUAGCGGUGAAAUGCAUAGAUAUGCCAUAGAACACCGAUAGCGAAGGCAGCUAACUAAGUCAUAACUGACGCUGAGGCACGAAAGCGUGGGGAUCAAACAGGAUUAGAUACCCUGGUAGUCCACGCUGUAAACGAUGAUAACUCGCUAUUGGCGAUAUACGGUCAGUGGCUGAGCGAAAGCAUUAAGUUAUCCACCUGGGGAGUACGAUCGCAAGGUUGAAACUCAAAGGAAUUGACGGGGGCCCGCACAAGCGGUGGAGCAUGUGGUUUAAUUCGAUGAUACGCGAGGAACCUUACCAGGGCUUAAAUGUACCGUGCUAGUUUCGGAAACGAGACGUUCUUCGGACCG
rnacentral:rRNA from 1 species